AUCACUCGGGAACAGCUUUCAUUCCUGAAGUCAUGUGGAUUCACUGCACCUCAGAUGGCUGAUAUUUGAGUGUUUCACUUCGUACAAUUUGAAGACGUCUGCGACAGUAUCAUUUCACCCGUGCAUCAAUGUAUGCGGAACUGACUGACAGUGCCUUGGAUGAACAUGUGCAGGACAUUGUCGCUGGCAAUGAACAAACUGGUCCUGAGGCUGUCAGAGCCUCCCUGCGAGUACGUGGACUACGUGUACAGCGAAGGAGGGUUUGAGCAAGCAUGUUACGGAUGAAUCCUGGAGCAGCUGCCCUUAGAGCAGUUUUGCGGAGACCAGAACGAAGAACAUAUCAGGUUGCAGGUCCAAACUCAUUGUGGCACAUUGCUGGAAAUCACAAGCUGAUAAGGUGGAGGAUAGUCAUUGAUGGGGCUAUUGAUGGAUACAGUCGUCUUGUGGUCUUCCUUCAUGCCUCAAACAACAACCGUAGCAGUACCGUUUUAUCAAGUUUCAUCAGACCCGUGGUAUCCUAUGGUGUACCCUGGAGGGUCCGGACAGACAGAGGUGGGGAAAACAAUGCUGUCUGCCUGAUGAUGAACAUUUUCAGAGGCUUUGAUCGUGGAAGUGCCCUAAGAGGAAGGAGUACCCAUAAUCAGAGAACUGAGAGGCUCUGAGGUGAUCUGUGGCGAGGAAUGACCAAUGUCUACUGUGACUUAUUUCACCACCUGGAGGAGGAAGGCAUCAUUGACAUUGACAAUGAAAUGCACCUUUGGGCUCUCCAUUACAUCUAUCUCCCAAGGAUCAACAGAGAUUUGAAAGACUUCACUCAACAGUGGAACAAUCAUGGCUUGCGGACAGAGAGACACUUGAGCCCAUUACAGAUUUUUGUCCGAGGCAGCCUCCUGGUAGAACUAUGUAAUCCACUAAGUGGCACCAGAGGGAGUCAUGGUAUUGAACUCAUCACUGGCUUAAUAUACUUUCUGGACUCCACAUAUCACUGAGACAGUUCAAUUAUUGACUGAAACAUAAUAGCAGCAAGUGGAAAGACUUCAAAAUAUCUAGGUGACUGGAUACAUAUAAUGUGAAAAGUUAUAAUACGUGUUUACUAUGUACCAUUGAGUAGUGGAGAUACAAGAACGAGCUGUGUGACACUGACAAUAAAAAAUGUUGAGUGAUUUUUAAAGUGUGUAAGAUGGAAGUUGUGAAAUGGAAAGUUUACAACUGAAACUGAAUCUCGAUAAAGUCAACUUGAUCUAAAAGUUACAGCUGUUGAUUUUGAUAAAUACAACUAUAAAGCAGUGACAGUAAAUAAUUAAAAAAUAAAGUGGCUCAGUAUAGUGUGGUAGAUAUAAAGUGGUUUAGCGUGUGUUUGAUGUUGUGACAGUUCACAGCAGAGAAAAAGUGUUAACAUUAUUGAGCACAUUAUGUUUUGCUUUGUACAAACAUAGUUCUGAAAAUACUGGACUCGAGUGUAAAAUGUGAAUAAAAAAAGAGCAAGCAGUGA